rnacentral:rRNA from 1 species
CCCACGGGCCUCGCCCGGGUGGAAAUGUAGCGUUAAGGAGUGUCCGUCAACACGGCGUUUCGCACCUCGCUCAAGUCCAACUUGAACGGGGCCACACAGAGGGUGAUAUGCCCGUGUAGCAGUUGCGUGCGUCGUGUGGACAUCUCCUCAGAGUCGGUUUGCUUGAGAGUGCAGACCUAAGUGGGUGGUAAACUCCAUCUAAGGCUAAAUAUGACCACGAGACCGAUAGCACACAAGUACCGUGAGGGAAAGGUGAAAAGAACUUUGAAGAGAGAGUUCAAGAGUACGUGAAACUGAGCUGGUGAAAGCGGACAGAAUCGAAAAGUGCGAACAGAGUUGACUCAUGCCGACCCCUAAGGCAAGAUGCUGGGAGAUUGUGACGGUCUUGUGGAGUCCUUCGGGGCGCCGCGAGUUCCUAACUACUCCCUGUCAUCAUCCGUACCGGUGGGGGAGGCUGCACUUCUACUUAGUAGCACGUCGCGGCUCGUUGGGCCGUCGUUCUAAGGCCCGCGGUGGAGUCCUCGCCUUUGUGUGUUGACCUGCGGUGUCCUGAUCGGCGCCCGACGGAGUGAGUACGGACGGAGCCCACAGUGUGUCCGUGACCCUUAGCACAAGGGAACACCGGACUGGUUCCGUCGGUCCGCGGCGCUUCUGCUUUCGAUCCCUGUCCGACCCGUCUUGAAACACGGACCAAGGAGUCUAACAUGUGCGCGAGUCACUGGGCUUGCGAAACCUAAAGGCGAAAUGAAAGUAAAGACUGAGUUUACUCGGUCUAGGGGUGAUGGUCGCGCUUCCAUGCCGGCCCGCAACCCCGGGGCGUCACAUUCUCUUUGAGAAGUGGCGCACCUUGAGCGCACACGUUGGUACCCGAAAGAUGGUGAACUAUGCCUGGCCAGGGUGAAGUCAGGGGAAACCCUGAUGGAAGCCCGUAGCGAUUCUGACGUGCAAAUCGAUCGUCAGAGCUGGGUAUAGGGGCGAAAGACUAAUCGAACCAUCUAGUAGCUGGUUCCCUCUGAAGUUUCCCUCAGGAUAGCUGGCGCUCGGAUGAGUCUCAUCCGGUAAAGCGAAUGAUUAGAGGCCUUGGGGCCGAAACGACCUCAACCUAUUCUCAAACUUUAAAUGGGUGAGAACUCCGGCUUGCUUCGGUGAAGCCGCGAGUAUCUCGGAUCAUGAGUGCCAAGUGGGCCAAUUUUGGUAAGCAGAACUGGCGCUGUGGGAUGAACCAAACGCGGAGUUAAAGCGCCUAAGACGACGCUGAUGGGAUACCAGAAAAGGCGUUGGUUGCUGAAGACAGCAGGACGGUGGCCAUGGAAGUUGGAAUCCGCUAAGGAGUGUGUAACAACUCACCUGCCGAAGCAACUAGCCCUGAAAAUGGAUGGCGCUGAAGCGUCGCGCUUAUACUCCGCCGUCAGAGCAAUAGGCCCCUCGUGGGUUCUUUAAGCUCUGAUGAGUAAGAGGGUCGCGUGGGUGUGCGCAGAAGGGUCUGGGCGUGAGCCUGCCUGGAGCCGCCCACGGUGCAGAUCUUGGUGGUAGUAGCAAAUACUCUAGAGAGUCCCUGGAGGACCGAGGUGGAGAAGGGCUCCGCGACAACAGUUGUUGUUCGCGAGUGAGUCGAUCCUAAGCCUAAAGAGAAAUCUUUAGUAUGGUCGAGCCUUGUAGGUUCCCAUCGGGCGAAAGGGAAUCCGGUAACAAUUCCGGUACCCGGGCUCGGAACCGCAUUGCAGGUCUUCGUACUUGUCACGGUGACGUGAAUUGCCCCUGAGACGCCCUCGGGUGCUGUCAGAAGAGUUAUCUUUUCUCUGUAAGCCGGCGUACCCCAUGGAAUUCUCUUGCAGAGAGAUAUGGAGCGGCCGUGCGAAGAGCACCGCACUUGCGGCGGUGUUGACAGUUACUCCUGGGACCUUGAAAAUCAGGGUGAAGGCCACGCGUGCAUCCGACCUGGAUCGUACCCAUAUCCGCAUCA